rnacentral:rRNA from 1 species
UACGGAGGGUGCAAGCGUUAAUCGGAAUUACUGGGCGUAAAGCGCGCGUAGGCGGUUUGGUCAGUCAGAUGUGAAAGCCCAGGGCUUAACCUUGGAACUGCAUUUAGAACUGGGUAGCUAGAGUAUGGUAGAGGGGUGUGGAAUUUCAGGUGUAGCGGUGAAAUGCGUAGAGAUCUGAAGGAACAUCAGUGGCGAAGGCGACACCCUGGACCAAUACUGACGCUGAGGUGCGAAAGCGUGGGGAGCAAACAGG